UAGGGAAUCUUCCACAAUGGACGCAAGUCUGAUGGAGCAACGCCGCGUGAGUGAAGAAGGUUUUCGGAUCGUAACGCUCUGUUGUUGGUGAAGAAGGAUAGAGGUAGUAACUGGCCUUUAUUUGACGGUAAUCAACCAGAAAGUCACGGCUAACUACGUGCCAGCAGCCGCGGUAAUACGUAGGUGGCAAGCGUUGUCCGGAUUUAUUUGGCGUAAAGCGAGCGCAGGCGGAAGAAUAAGUCUGAUGUGGAAGCCCUCGGCUUAACCGAGGAACUGCAUCGGAAACUGUGUUUCUUGAGUGCAGAAGAGGAGAGUGGAAUUCCAUGUGUAGCGGGGGAAUGCGUAGAUAUAUGGAAGAAAACCAGUGGCGAAGGUGACUCUCUGGUCUGAAACUGACGCUGAGGCUCGAAAGCAUGGGUAGCGAACAGG
rnacentral:rRNA from 1 species